rnacentral:rRNA from 1 species
CAGAGGUGGCAAGCGUUGUUCGGAAUUACUGGGCGUAAAGGGCGGCGUAGGCGGCCUGCUAAGUCGAACGUGAAAUCCCUGGGCUCAACCCAGGAACUGCGUCCGAUACUGGUUGGCUUGAAUCCGGGAGAGGGACGUGGAAUUCCAGGUGUAGCGGUGAAAUGCGUAGAUAUCUGGAGGAACACCGGUGGCGAAGGCGACGUCCUGGACCGGCAUUGACGCUGAGGCGCGAAAGCCAGGGGAGCAAACGGGAUUAGAUACCCCGGUAGUCCUGGCCCUAAACGAUGAAUGCUUGGUGUGGUGGGUAUCGAUCCCUACCGUGCCGAAGCUAACGCAUUAAGCAUUCCGCCUGGGGAGUACGGUCGCAAGGCUG